rnacentral:lncRNA from 1 species
ACUCGUAGCAGUCGACAGAGUACUCACGAACACGAAGCAUGGAGACGAGCGCCGGAACUGCUUCGCUCAGCUGCCGGCGGCACCGCUGCGAAGUUUUCGUGAGACGGCGGAUUUCCUUAGCUGCCUCGAGCUUGGAGUUGAGAUUUUCCGAUUGGAUUAGGUGGAGAGCACGGUAUACGGCUCCGGAAGAGGAGGAGGAGAGGAGGAGAAGGAAGAGGAAGGGGAGAAGGCGGAAGCAGCUGAUCCACGAGGAGUGC